AGGCAACGCUCUGCGUCUAUAUUUGCUUUGUUCUCUUUCGUCGCCGCUUUUCUUUCACAUUUCCUUGCGCCUCUGGUCCUUGAGCGACAAAAAGGGGAAGCCAAGGCUGGCCCGAGGAAAGGAGAGGGCACAUGGCCUAGCCACGAGUGGAGCGCCUGCUCCGCCGGAAGGGAUGCGCUGGAGCGGCCUUGUCCUUCCGCCACGGUCUUUCUAUGCCAACUCGUAGAUAUGCUUCUACAUACACCUUUAUGCAUUUGCUUGAACAUUUCCCUGAGAAAAACCAGAAAUGGAAUUGCCAAAUUACUUUGUGUACAUAUUUCCAAACUGUCCUCCAGAAAGAAUGUAAUGUUUUGAACUUCCACUUGAGAAUCAAAUGUUUACCUUCCUCUGUUCCUCCAGAUUUGGACAUCUACAGUGUUCAUCUGUUGUUGUGGCAUUCCAGUUGAACUGGGAAACAGCUUCAUGUAGCGUCCCAAGGCAGACACUGGACCUCCGAGGAGGGAGUGGGUGCCCCGAGAACUCACUGCUGGUGGACAGCAGAAAGGGCAGCAGCCGGACCAAGGUGAGGACAACGGAAGUGAAGGCCACUGGCUACCUCUCCUGCCCUCCACUGGCCGCGAACUGCACCAGGAGGAAGACAGCCCCUCCCCUCCGCUCUGAGCUGACAGUGUUCCUCCAUCGCCCUCUAUUGGAGAAGAACAACAUCAAGCUGGCUAGCAAGGAACUGUGUACAGAGUCCAGCUGGGUAUCACACUGGAUCUCACCCAAAGCUGAGAUGUCAUCCAGCUCAGUAUCACAGAGCAGAACGAAAAGGAUGUGUUUGGGCUGAGAGGCCAUACAUUGGUAACUGGCACAUGAACUGUAUUUUCUAUUGAGCAUUGCUGGUAUAUGGCAAGUUUGCAUAAAAUUAUAUUGAAAUUGA